UCAAGAGAUUAUGAAACUUGAAAAGAGAUCUCCACAAUGCAAGGAGAAUUGUACAUUCAAAAUGAAAAGAACAUCCAAGAUGAAAUCAAUUAAUAAACUAAAAUAUUGAAAACUAGGGAGCAACAUUUUCUUUUCUUCUUUCAAUUAACACCCACAGAUUGUAAAUUAAACAGAUCAAGGAGAAAAGAGAAACUAUU